UUUGCAAUCCAGUAAAGAAGUUGGAGAUCUGCCAGUCAGGAAACUUGCUUUGCACCCCCUCAAGCAAGGGCUGGGGGUGGGAGGAGAUUCCUCCUAAAAGAUCUGUUUCUGGACAAUAACCCCCAGGUGCAAGAGCUGAAAGAGAGUUGAGGAGGCUAAAUUGAGUGCAGAAAGCAAGCCCUAUUGUCUUUCUGGAAGAUCUGCCCAAAUUCAACCUCCUUCCUUCAGACACCGCUCCCUCUUUCCACUCCCGCCCCUUCCUCAGCCUGCCCUCACCCCGAGUUUAAGCGGGAAUAUCGGGUAAGAGCCCCCUCGUCCCCUUGCCCACCCCUCCCUCCCCAACCCAGAAAAGUUGGGGCUGGGCUAGGGGAGAGGGAAGAGGUGGGGGCGGGGAUGGGAAAGCGGCCUGAACUCGAAGUGUAAGGGUAUCAGUCACUGCCGGGAAGGAAGCUCCGGCUUGUGAACUCUUCUUGAACCGAGAUUUAAGUCUGCAGCCAUAAAUCACCGAGACGUAAACUCCGCCAUUCAGCGCGGAGAGCGGCCGGUUGUGGCCCUGCUUACCUUAACUUCUGAUGAGCGCCGCAAGCUCAGGCUCCGGCUCGGGCUUGGGCUCGGGCUCGGGCUCCGGGCUCCGGCCCCCGGCCCGGCUUAGCGGCCCGGCCGGGUCCCCUAGGCGCGGGAUGGGCACCGACCCUCAGCAUCAGCCGAGACGGCUGGCGGGAGGGAGACCCCGAGGCCCGGACGCCGCGGCGCAGAGCGUGGCCGCCUCGCUGCUCCGGCACGGCUCGCCCAGGGCGGACUGGGGCGGCUUGGACCCCCCCCCUCCCACCCACCCCACCCACCCACCCCUCCCCCACACCCCCGCCCCCUGCCCUUCCCGAGGGCAGCAGCCGUGGCCCGGAGAUAAGCGCUAGCGCGGCGCAGGGCUCUGCCUGGGCUAGUGGCACCGACUUGGGCAGAAACUCUUAAAAUCCUGGCAGCCAAGAGGGAAGUAACCUGGGGGAAAUGGACACAAGUCCAGGCAGUGAAGUGGGAUGCGCUGGGCUCAGUAGGAAAAGAAAACGCAGAGACCUGGGAAACGCGUGCUUUUCCCGUAGGAAAAAGAGCAGUUCCGCCCACCUAAAGGAACGGAGAAGACCCGCUGCCUGCGACGGUCUACACAUUCGAAAGGCAGCAACCUCCCUCAUGCCGCGGAAAGGCAAAAGGAUAGGAGAAACUGCAAGGCGGCGAGACAAGUUUCCUCAACGCAGAUCUGUGACUGACGACCAUUCCCGAACUCACAGUCUCCGCGGGCGCCGCAAACAGUCGACAGGGAGCGCGGCCCACGCAGCGGCCGCCGCACCCGUGGCCUCUACUUGCUUCUGCCCUGCUGCUCGGUGUAGGGGUUUGUUUGGAGCUCGCUCCAAGAAACAAACACGCUCCUCUGACACCCCCGGCCGCCCCCGCACGCACAUCUUUGGUCUCUGCAACCGCCCCGCCUGCACAGUGCCGGCCGUUUUUCGGGGCAGACUCUUUGUCUGCCUGAAACCCCGCAUUCCCGGGGCGUGCAGCUCAAGAGAACCCAGCUCCAAAACGUCUCCGAGGUUAAAUAUUGACCAGAACCUCCUUCAAGGGGCUGCAGCUGCCUGGACGAGGAAACUCCUUCCAAAGGUCCGUGCAAAGCCCGGAGGAGUGAAGAGUUGGCGCAGCGCUUACCUCGAAAGAUGUUUAAGACUGAACCAGUGAUUGUCUCCAACUCCGGGCACUCAGGGAAUCGCCUUUUCCGGUGUCCUGGCGCUCUGCGGACAAAUAAACAGCAGAGAGUAAACGGUGGCUGCGAAGGAAGGGAGCUGGAGAACCGGAGUUGGAAGUGCGGCCCUGCGCGGGCGCCAGGGUGGCCCCCGGGGUGACGCGGACACGGAGGAGUCGCCAGGGCACUCGUCCAUGAGGCGCACUCGUUGCUCGAAAGGGUCCAGUCUAAGAAUGGCCUGCAGAUGAUGAUUUAUUUUUGUAAAAUAAAUACAUACUCCAUCUCCGCA